rnacentral:rRNA from 1 species
UACGUAGGGUGCAAGCGUUGUCCGGAUUUAUUGGGCGUAAAGAGCUCGUAGGCGGUCUGUCGCGUCGGCUGUGAAAUCCCGAGGCUCAACCUCGGGUCUGCAGUCGAUACGGGCAAACUGGAGUGUUGCAGGGGAGACUGGAAUUCCUGGUGUAGCGGUGAAAUGCGCAGAUAUCAGGAGGAACACCGGUGGCGAAGGCGGGUCUCUGGGCAACAACUGACGCUGAGGAGCGAAAGCGUGGGGAGCGAACAGG